rnacentral:rRNA from 1 species
GCACGGGUGAGUAAUACAUCGGAACGUGUCUUCUAGUGGGGGAUAACUGCCCGAAAGGGCAGCUAAUACCGCAUGAGACCUGAGGGUGAAAGCGGGGGAUCGCAAGACCUCGCGCUGGAAGAGCGGCCGAUGUCCGAUUAGCUAGUUGGUGAGGUAAAGGCUCACCAAGGCGACGAUCGGUAGCUGGUCUGAGAGGACGACCAGCCACACUGGGACUGAGACACGGCCCAGACUCCUACGGGAGGCAGCAGUGGGGAAUUUUGGACAAUGGGGGCAACCCUGAUCCAGCCAUGCCGCGUGCAGGAUGAAGGUCUUCGGAUUGUAAACUGCUUUUGUCAGGGACGAAAAGGGAUGCGAUAACACCGCAUUCCGCUGACGGUACCUGAAGAAUAAGCACCGGCUAACUACGUGCCAGCAGCCGCGGUAAUACGUAGGGUGCAAGCGUUAAUCGGAAUUACUGGGCGUAAAGCGUGCGCAGGCGGUUCUGUAAGAUAGAUGUGAAAUCCCCGGGCUCAACCUGGGAAUUGCAUAUAUGACUGCAGGACUUGAGUUUGUCAGAGGAGGGUGGAAUUCCACGUGUAGCAGUGAAAUGCGUAGAUAUGUGGAAGAACACCGAUGGCGAAGGCAGCCCUCUGGGA